GCCGGAUUAGCUAGUUGGUGAGGUAAAGGCUCACCAAGGCGACGAUCCGUAGCUGGUCUGAGAGGACGACCAGCCACACCGGAACUGAGACACGGUCCGGACUCCUACGGGAGGCAGCAGUGGGGAAUAUUGGACAAUGGGGGCAACCCUGACAUCCAGCGACGCCGCGUGGGUGAAGAAGGCCUGCGGGUUGUAAAGCCCUUUCAGUGGGGAAGAAAUGUUCCGACCUAAUACGUCGGGAUCUUGACGUUACCCAAAGAAGAAGCACCGGCUAACUCUGUGCCAGCAGCCGCGUUAAUACAGAGGGUGCGAGCGUUAAUCGGAAUUACUGGGCGUAAAGCGCACGUAGAUGGCUUUGUAAGUCGUAUGUGAAAUCCCCGGGCUCAACCUGUGAACUGCAUUCGAAACUGCAUUGCUCGAAUGUGGAAGAGGGAAGCGGAAUUCCAGGUGUAGCGGUGAAAUGCGUAGAUAUCUGGAGGAACAUCAGUGGCGAAGGCGGCUUCCUCCGUCCAACAUUGACAUUCAGGUGCGAAAGCGUGGGGAGCA
rnacentral:rRNA from 1 species